CAUUGUUUGGUUUCCUAGUACUGCGGCAGCGCCCCUAACUAGGCAUCGCAAGCGUAACUUCUCAACUGCUCGGAAGCGUUCGGAACCCGGGACGCAACUUCGGAUUAUGGUGAAUUUGUGUUGUCAUGGCGAAUCUUCGCCUGGCGAAGUGUUGCAAUGUCAGCGAAGCUGGCGCAUUUUCGGCACUGGCCAUAGAUGUUGAUCCUCAUUGUGAGACCACGAUUUUCUCGGAACGAUCGUACGA